rnacentral:lncRNA from 1 species
UAUGGCGAAGAAUGACGUUGACUAUGGCGGAAAUGAUGAUUGCAUGAAGGUAGGGGGUCUACAGACGACGUUAGCGAUUGGUUAGUCGGAAUGAAGACGCAAAUCGAAUCAACACCACGUUUUGUGUUAUUUCAAAUGUUUGAAAAGAGAAAACGCCCGACUUGAGAUUACAGAUAUUAAGGCAAUUGGUUGAUAACAAUGUAUUUUAAGAAGUGUAGAUCCGUUUUUUGUUAUCAUUUGUUAUGAAUGCGGAUCUUUCGACAAAUUUCCGUAACUAGAUGUAGGAUAUGACCUAUUUAGAAAAUAUGGAUUUCUUCACAAUUCUUCACACACACACACACACACAUACACGAGCCAAAUGUUUAUACGUCUACAUAUUUGUUAUAUACGUCUAUUCGUGCAUAUAUAUGUAGUAUGAUGUUGAAAGGGGCAAUCUCAGAAUGAUGGAGUCCUUCCUUAUAAACAAACUGAGACCAGUCAUGAACAACAGCAAGGAACUACACGAAGCAGACUGGUUGCUAUAGCAACACCAGUCUGUGCAUGUCUUCCUCCUUCCUCCUUCCUUCCCUACCUCCUUCUCCCACACACAUCUGAGCAACGAUUUUUCGCAACUAUCGCUGUUCCUAAAUGCCUUGAAGAAUGGGUCUUCACCACGAAACAUAGAAAUACAAGCUGAACGGGUUUGUUAUUGCAGUAGAAACAGAAUAGCAAAGAUGGAAGCAGAAACCAAAAUUGACACUGAAGCCGAUCUUGUCUAUAUACAAUGUCAACGACACUAGUUUAUCGAUAAAACUAUUUCUAUGUAAUAUGCGGUGCAGAAGCAGAUAUAAGUUCUCUUAAUAAACGAUUUUGGAGAAUCUGAGAGUUUACCAACGAUAAGAUUGCGUUGUUAAGGAUGCAACAGCGUUUCAAGUACAGUAGGUCACGCAUACAUUAUGGCGGACAUAGUGAAAUCAGAGAAAACCCCGAGAGAAAUAAAUUCGAUAGAGUAGGUAGAAAUAAAACCCUUUUAGUACCUUUA